GCUCAAGGUGAAUGCUCUCAUUAUUGCUUGGUUAGGCCCCUGCGAUGCAGGCUGAGGAGGACUAGCCUCUUGGAACUUGUGCUUUUUCAUUUUCUAUAACAAAUCCUUGGAUGCUAAAACCUGAAGAGGAAGCAAAGUGACCUAGCAAGGUCACUUCUGCAGCCCACUCCCUCUUGUCAUGGGUAUCCCUCCUCCUGGGCGUGGCCCUCUGGCUGGCUUUCUCUGCAUAUGUACAACUGUGUUUUGUAUGACCCAAGAGACACCAUCUCUCCUCUCCCAGCUCUCAAUUCUCCCAACUUUUGCUAUCAGGUCGUUUCAGAGAAGUUGUGUCUCUCCGAGGCGUUCCCUCUAGGUAGGGCCAGAGUUUCCAUUCGUUGGCUCACUUCGCACAUGCAAACACAUCUCCUGAAUUCUGGCCUUCUGAACCACGGGUAGUCGGGCCCAAAGGCCUUUCUGGGCAGGGCACUGUGAGUCAAGAGUGGAAAAUCGGAGUAGCUGGGGCCCUGGAUCUAAGUGUCCCCAUCCGUCCACCCUUAGAGGUGGAGGCCUCACUAAGGCUCUGCAAAGAUUUUCCUUAGGGCAGCAGAGGGCAGGGCUGAUGCUGCCGAGCCGGAGCGUGCCCUGGAGUCUGGCUGGUGGCAGAACCAGGCCGUGGGAUCCUCCUGGGGCUCUGUUUGCUGGAGCUAAUAUGUGGGACUUUUUGAGGGGGAGUGGAAGGAGGAAGGAGUCUGUGUGUCUGAGGGCCUAAUGGGGAAGCCGAGGGUUGAGGAGGAUGGAAGGGAUAGUGUGGAGCCCGUAUUUGCUUCCUGAUGCAGCAGGCAGGGCGUUUCUUGUCGUUCCCUCGCAGUCAGCGUGAGCCUUUGCACUGAUUCUGCAGGGCCUCCCUGGCAGCUUUUCAGGUCUGACGCCUCCUUGCAGACUGUUCCGAACUCUUCUCUCUGAAAGCCUCAGCUUCCUCGUUUGUAAAGUAGGGAUGGUGAUAGUUCCUGCCUCACAUCCUGGGGGCAGAAGUCAAGCUGGAUGUUAAAGUGUGAAAUUCUUCAGAAACUUGAGUCCCCUGGGCAAUCGUUAAAAUCUAGAAGGAACAAAUCAGCUUGUGAAAAGCCUCAGAGGAAAGGGGAAAUGGGGCAGUUACGUCUGUGUGGGCUCAGGAUCAUGAACAGAAAACUUGGCUUCCAGGGCACCUCUUUGUUCAAAACAGAACAUUAUUCUAUGAGGUGACUCUUGAACGGGGCCUUUCCCCGGGUGGCCACUGAGGUUCUGGCCAGGGACGGUACUAGAGUGUGGACAUUCACUGGGAUG
rnacentral:lncRNA from 1 species